rnacentral:lncRNA from 1 species
GUACCAGGAGACCGUCAUAGACAGGAAGCAGUCCUAAGGGAAGGUCCAUGGGGCUGGAUCUGCUGUCCCAGAGCCACCUGAGACCUCUGCACCCUCUACCCUGGCUGCUGGUAGGAUUCCUAGUAUCCAAACCAGCCCCUUCUAGAAUCCACAGCUGCUUACCAGCUGGGGGUCAAUGUCCCCGAUGGAUUUGGCAUGGACUGCUUCUAGUAGCUCCUCCAGCUCAGCCAGGGCCAGGCGCCCCCCUAGCCGUAGCCGGUCAGGCCCUGGAGGCUCCAGCAAAAAGAGGCGCUUCCAGAGGGUGUCCCGGCGGCAGUGCCCUCCAGCCAGCCGGACCAGCUGAGCCAGCCGUGCCCGUGCCACGCCCACCUCCGUAGCCAAUGGGGGGAACAGGGGAGCUGGUCCAGAGGCCAGGCCAAGCCCUGAGGCCUCCCCAGGGCUACCAGCUGAGCUCCCGGGAGUUUCCGGCUCAGGGGGCAGUCUGGGUGGCUUCCGGAACCGGCGCAAGUCGGCAGUGAGCCUGGGGAAGAGCUCUCGUUGGCUGGUGAGCACCACGAAGAACUGCAGCCUGGGGGGCGGGAGGGGUAGGAAUGUGGUGAUCACAACAGGAGACGCUCAGAGCAAGGGCACAGGGGAGCUGGACAACGAGCACAGUCAAGGUGGGGGAUCUGCUGACCGCAGAACGUGCCGCUCAGCUUCUCCUUGCUCUUCAAAGGGUGCAGCACAGUGACACACAAGCAGAGACACAUCAAAGUCAUCCUGGUGACGAAGUCCCUCAGAGUCCAGGUAGGAGCCAGAGCUGUACAGUGAGGGUGGGUGAGAUGCCAACACUGAGGCUCUAAUGAAGCCAACCCCCUCCCUGC